rnacentral:rRNA from 1 species
UAGGGAAUAUUGGUCAAUGGGCGAGAGCCUGAACCAGCCAUGCCGCGUGCAGGAUGACGGCCUUCUGGGUUGUAAACUGCUUUUAUAUGGGAAGAAAAAGGCCUUGCGAGGCAAAUUGCCGGUACCAUAUGAAUAAGCACCGGCUAACUCCGUGCCAGCAGCCGCGGUAAUACGGAGGAUGCAAGCGUUAUCCGGAAUUAUUGGGCGUAAAGCGUCCGCAGGUGGCUCUUCAAGUCUGCUGUCAAAGACCAGAGCUCAACUCUGGGCAGGCGGUGGAAACUGGGGAGCUAGAGUACGGUAGGGGUAGAGGGAAUUUCCAGUGUAGCGGUGAAAUGCGUAGAGAUUGGAAAGAACACCAGUGGCGAAGGCGCUCUACUGGACCGUAACUGACACUCAGGGGCGAAAGCUAGGGGAGCGAAAGGGAUUAGAUACCCCCGUAGUCC